rnacentral:rRNA from 1 species
UACGUAGGGGGCAAGCGUUGUCCGGAUUUAUUGGGCGUAAAGCGCUCGCAGGUGGUUCGUCGCGUCGUGCGUGAAAGACCCCGGCUCAACUGGGGGAGGUCGUGCGAUACGGGCGAACUGGAGGCCAGUAGGGGGAUGCGGAAUUCCGGGUGUAGUGGUAGAAUGCGUAGAGAUCCGGAGGAACACCAGCGGCGAAGGCGGCAUCCUGGACUGGUCCUGACACUCAUGAGCGAAAGCGUGGGGAGCGAUCCGG